UACGUAGGGGGCUAGCGUUGUCCGGAAUCAUUGGGCGUAAAGCGCGUGUAGGCGGCCCGGUAAGUCCGCUGUGAAAGUCCAGGGCUCAACCCUGGGAUGCCGGUGGAUACUGUCGGGCUCGAGUCCGGAAGAGGCGAGUGGAAUUCCUGGUGUAGCGGUGAAAUGCGCAGAUAUCAGGAGGAACACCAGUGGCGAAGGCGGGUCUCUGGGCCGAUACUGACGCUGAGGAGCGAAAGCGUGGGGAGCGAACAGG
rnacentral:rRNA from 1 species